rnacentral:rRNA from 1 species
CCUACGGGAGGCAGCAGUGGGGAAUAUUGCACAAUGGGGGGAACCCUGAUGCAGCGACGCCGCGUGAGUGAAGAAGUAUUUCGGUAUGUAAAGCCCUAUCAGCAGGGAAGAAAAGGACGGUACCUGACGAAGAAGCCCCGUCUAACUACGUGCCAGCAGCCGCGGUAAUACGUAGGGGGCAAGCGUUAUCCGGAUUUACUGGGUGUAAAGGGAGCGUAGACGGUUAUGCAAGUCUGAAGUGAAAGCUCAAGGCUCAACGCCCGGACUGCUCUGGAAACUGUACGGCUGGAGUGCAGGAGAGGUAAGUGGAAUUCCUAGUGUAGCGGUGAAAUGCGUAGAUAUUAGGAGGAACACCAGUGGCGAAGGCGGCUUGCUGGACUGUAACUGACGUUGAGGCUCGAAAGCGUGGGGAGCAAACAGGAUUAGAUACCCGUGUAGUC